rnacentral:lncRNA from 1 species
UUACACUUGAAGUUUGAGGUGGUUUUUGCCUUUGUAGAAGUUUUGUUUUAGAUUCCGACAUAGUUGUUGGCCUUGUAAUUAUAUCUGGAUCAAGUUCAAUUGCUCACACUUAGGCAAUAAACUUUUUGAUUGAUUGUGCACUAAUAGUGUAGUUAUGAACACAAAAUUUGAGCCUUGAACACUCGACUAACUUGCUUGACUAGAUUGGGGUGCUGUUAGGUGUAACUCUUCUUUUGAUUGUUGCCCCAUACUUUCAUCUUUAUCAACUAGAUGUCUAGCAUUUUGCCUUGUUCUUUUUGCCAUAGAUGGCUAUUCUUAACAUAUAAAAACAGUUGGAUAAAGUAAAUAUUAAUGUUGUUAACAAGUAAGAUAAGUUAGAUAAGGUGAGAGGUGUUACCUUCCCAUAACCCCUUGCAUUAUGAUUUGGCUCUCCACAAUUGGUGCAAGUCAUUACUCUCCCUUUUCUUGAAGCUGUCCAUUCACCUUACCUUUUGACUGCCUCAUCUUUUUGUCUUGUUCUCUUGAUUUUAGG